rnacentral:rRNA from 1 species
AACACAUGCAUGUCGAGGGGUAAUUCGAUCUUCGGAUCGGGAACGACCGGCAAAUGGGUGAGUAAUACAUAUGCAACCUGCCCGUAGCUGGAGAAUAGCUUCCGGAAACGGAAAUAAUACUCCAUAAUAUUCUAGUAUCGCAUGUUAUUAGAAUUAAAGCUUCGGUGGCUACGGAUGGGCAUAUGUCCCAUUAGCUUGUUGGUGAGGUAACUGCUCACCAAUGCUACGAUGGGUAGGGGGUCUGAGAGGAUGAUCCCCCACACUGGUACUGAGACACGGACCAGACUCCUACGGGAGGCAGCAGUGAGGAAUAUUGGUCAAUGGGCGAAAGCCUGAACCAGCCAUGCCGCGUGCAGGAUGACAGUCCUACGGAUUGUAAACUGCUUUUCUGCAAGAAGAAAUGUUCCGACGUGUCGGGAUUUGACGGUAUUGCAGGAAUAAGCAUCGGCUAACUCCGUGCCAGCAGCCGCGGUAAUACGGAGGAUGCAAGCGUUAUCCGGAUUCAUUGGGUUUAAAGGGUGCGUAGGCGGAUUAGAUAGUCAAAGGUGAAAGCCUGCAGCUUAACUGUAGAAGUGCCUUUGAUACUGCUAAUCUUGAGUACAGUUGAGGCGAGUGGAAUGUGUAGUGUAGCGGUGAAAUGCAUAGAUACUACACAGAACACCAAUUGCGAAGGCAGCUCGCUAAGCUGUUACUGACGCUCAGGCACGAAAGCGUGGGGAGCGAACGGGAUUAGAUACCCUGGUAGUCCACGCUGUAAACUAUGAUCACUAGCUGUUGGCGAUAAAUUGUCCAGUGGCUCAGCGAAAGCGUUAAGUGAUCCACCUGGGGAGUACGAUCGCAAGGUUGAAACUCAUAGGAAUUGACGGGGGCCCGCACAAGCGGUGGUACAUGUGGUUUAAUUCGAUGAUACGCGAGGAACCUUACCUUGGGCUUAAAUGUAGAGCGACGUCUCGAGAAAUCGGGAUUCCCUUCGGGGCGUAUUUCAAGGUGCUGCAUGGUUGUCGUCAGCUCGUGCCGUGAGGUAUCGGGUUAAGUCCCAUAACGAGCGCAACCCUUAUUGUUAGUUGCCAGCGGAUAAUGCCGGGGACUCUAACAAAACUGCCCGUGUAAACGGGAGGAAGCUGGGGAUGACGUCAAAUCAGC